rnacentral:misc_RNA from 1 species
UCACCGCUUGCGCGGGCAGUUUCUCUAGAGUUCCCGGCAUUACCCGCUGGCAACUAGAGAUGAGGGUUGCGCUCGUUAUGGGACUUAACCCGACACCUCACGGCACGAGCUGACGACAACCAUGCAGCACCUUGCAGACCGUCCGAAGAAGUCCCGGUUUCCCGGGAUGUCGUUCUGCAUUCAAGUCCAGGUAAGGUUCCUCGCGUAUCAUCGAAUUAAACCACAUGCUCCACCGCUUGUGCGGGCCCCCGUCAAUUCCUUUGAGUUUCAACCUUGCGAUCGUACUCCCCAGGUGGAUUACUUAUCACUUUUGCUUAGGCACUGGCAGUAUAUCGCCAACACCGAGUAAUCAUCGUUUACAGCGUGGACUAC